AUUGAACGCUGGCGGCAGGCCUAACACAUGCAAGUCGAACGAGUGGCGGACGGGUGAGUAAUGUCUGGGAAACUGCCCGAUGGAGGGGGAUAACUACUGGAAACGGUAGCUAAUACCGCAUCCUAUCGGAUGUGCCCAGAUGGGAUUAGCUGGUAGGUGAGGUAACGGGUCACCUAGGCGACGAUCCCUAGCUGGUCUGAGAGGAUGACCAGCCACAUGGGAACUGAGACACGGGCCAGAGCCCUACGGGAGGCAGCUGUGGGGAAUAGUGCACAAUGGGGGCAAGCCUGAUGAAGCCAUGCCGGGUGUAUGAAGAAGGCCUUAGGGUUGUAAAGUACUUUCAGUGGGGAGGCGUUACCGGCAGAAGAAGCACCGGCUAACUCCGUGCCAGCCGCCGCGGUAAUUC
rnacentral:rRNA from 1 species